AUUGAACGCUGGCGGCAGGCCUAACACAUGCAAGUCGAACGAGUGGCGGACGGGUGAGUAAUGUCUGGGAAACUGCCUGAUGGAGGGGGAUAACUACUGGAAACGGUAGCUAAUACCGCAUACCAUCGGAUGUGCCCCGAUGGGAUUAGCGAGUAGGUGGGGUAAAGGCUCACCUAGGCGACGAUCCCUAGCUGGUCUGAGAGGAUGACCAUGCACACGGGAACUGAGACACGGGCCAGACGCCUACGGGAGGCAGCAGUGGGGAAUAGUGCACAAUGGGGGCAAGCCUGAUGCAGCCAUGCCGCGUGUAUGAAGAAGGACUUCGGGUUGUAAAGUACUUUCAGCGGGGAGGCGUUACCCGCAGAAGAAGCACCGGCUAACUCCGUGCCAGCCGCCGCGGUAAUUC
rnacentral:rRNA from 1 species